GGUAAAAUUGACCACGACAGAUGGACCACAAUAAAAAGAUCCCUCGGACACCAGCGACAACUCAAACAAAGUUCAUCAGCACAUCAUCCCUUUCAAAACGCCCAGGAGAUAAAGAGCAAAGUGCCCACGCAAGAGCAUGACAGAUCAAGUCUAUAUCAUAAUGAAGAGAAUGUCAUGAUUGAUCAAGUCGAAUGCCUUGCUAUAGUCCAUAAAGACUAAGCCGCUGACAUUGUUCUUAUCAAGGUCAA